UGCAAGUCGAACGGCAGCGCGGGGCAACCUGGCGGCGAGUGGCGAACGGGUGAGUAAUAUAUCGGAACGUACCCUGGAGUGGGGGAUAACGUAGCGAAAGUUACGCUAAUACCGCAUACGAUCUAAGGAUGAAAGUGGGGGAUGCGCAAGCACCUCAUGCUCCUGGAGCGGCCGAUAUCUGAUUAGCUAGUUGGUGGGGUAAAGGCCUACCAAGGCAUCGAUCAGUAGCUGGUCUGAGAGGACGACCAGCCACACUGGAACUGAGACACGGUCCAGACUCCUACGGGAGGCAGCAGUGGGGAAUUUUGGACAAUGGGCGAAAGCCUGAUCCAGCAAUGCCGCGUGAGUGAAGAAGGCCUUCGGGUUGUAAAGCUCUUUUGUCAGGGAAGAAACGGUGGAGGCUAAUAUCCUCUGCUAAUGACGGUACCUGAAGAAUAAGCACCGGCUAACUACGUGCCAGCAGCCGCGGUAAUACGUAGGGUGCAAGCGUUAAUCGGAAUUACUGGGCGUAAAGCGUGCGCAGGCGGUUUUGUAAGUCUGUCGUGAAAUCCCCGGGCUCAACCUGGGAAUUGCGAUGGAGACUGCAAGGCUAGAAUCUGGCAGAGGGGGGUAGAAUUCCACGUGUAGCAGUGAAAUGCGUAGAGAUGUGGAGGAACACCGAUGGCGAAGGCAGCCCCCUGGGUCAAGAUUGACGCUCAUGCACGAAAGCGUGGGGA
rnacentral:rRNA from 1 species